rnacentral:rRNA from 1 species
CAAUGGGGGAAACCCUGAUGCAGCGAUGCCGCGUGAGUGAAGAAGGCCUUUGGGUUGUAAAAUUCUUUCGCUAGGGAAGAUAAUGACUGUACCUAGUAAAGAAGCCCCGGCUAACUCCGUGCCAGCAGCCGCGGUAAUACGGAGGGGGCUAGCGUUGUUCGGAAUUACUGGGCGUAAAGCGUGCGUAGGCGGAUUAAUAAGUUAGAUGUGAAAUCCCAGGGCUCAACCCUGGAACUGCAUUUAAAACUGUUAGUCUUGAGUUCUGGAGAGGUAAGUGGAAUUGCUAGUGUAGAGGUGAAAUUCGUAGAUAUUAGCAGGAACACCAGAGGCGAAGGCGGCUUACUGGACAGAUACUGACGCUGAGGCACGAAAGUGUGGGGAGCAAACAGGAUUAGAUACCCUGGUAGUCCACACCGUAAACUAUGAGAGCUAGUUGUCUGCAUGCAUGCAUGUAGGUGACGCAGCUAACGCAUUAAGCUCUCCGCCUGGGGAGUACGGUCGCAAGAUUAAAACUCAAAGAAAUUGACGGGGGCCCGCACAAGCGGUGGAGCAUGUGGUUUAAUUCGAAGCAACGCGCAGAACCUUACCUACCCUUGACAUGCCGGUCGCGAUUUCCAGAGAUGGAUUUCUUCAAUUCGGUUGGACCGUGCACAGGUGCUGCAUGGCU